rnacentral:rRNA from 1 species
AUGGUGGAGGUUGAGCUUGUGCUGAAGCUUGGAUUGCUGUGCUCCCAUUCGCUGUCCAAGUCGCGGCCAUGUAUGCGUCUAGUCAUGCUGUACUUGGAAGGAGGUGCAAGACUUCCAGACUUCCAGCCGGCUUCUCUGGUCACUGAUGGACAUGAGGAUGAAGAGAUUGAUCAGGCUUUGUGUACAUCUGCAGCUACGACUGUGACCAUUCUGUCUGGAAGGUGA